UAACUGAAGAGUUUGAUCAUGGCUCAGAUUGAACGCUGGCGGCAGGCUUAACACAUGCAAGUCGAGCGGGGGAAGGUAGCUUGCUACUGGACCUAGCGGCGGACGGGUGAGUAAUGC
rnacentral:rRNA from 1 species